rnacentral:tRNA from 89 species
CGCGGAGUGGAGCAGUUGGCAGCUCGUCGGGCUCAUAACCCGAAGGUCGUAGGUUCAAGUCCUGCCUCCGCAACCA